UUAAAUCCCUCUAAUCAAUGCUAACUUAUCAACCUUCAACUCAUUGAUCAAAAAGAAAAAGAAGAAGAAGAAGAAGAAGAAGGAGAUGGAUAAGAGAAAGGGAAAUGGCAAAAUGGUAAAAGAAAUAUAAAUGCAUAAAAAUGGAAAAUCAUGUACCAAUCCUCAUAUGUUGACCAAUAACAUUGAAAGUCAAGGUCAAACAAGCAAAAAUAGAAGUGAGAUGAAGAUUGGAAGUCAAGAAAAG
rnacentral:lncRNA from 1 species